UGUUAAUGGGCACAUAAGGCCCAUUAAAUGGGGGGAACAUCCGGUAGUCAAUGGCGUCGUUACCCAAUAAGAUAAGCCCAUUGGAGGAAUAAACGGGAUUCGAGCGCAUCGGAAGUUGGUCCGACGCUCGCGGUGAUCGCCGACGUCCAAGACUCGAGAUGCAUGCAUGAUGAUGUUGGUGGGGAUCACGUGGCAUUUGCGACAAUAUAACAUCUCAAUAAAAAAUGCUUUUCUAGUAAAUUUGAUGUUCAGAGUAUCCUGGUGUGCCCUGGUAAUUCGAUUGAGCUCCAGUCCAGUUGUCCUACAAUGCAAAGUUGGUCGAUCAACCUUCUCGAAUGUCUUCAAGGAAAAGUAUGAGGUUUAUCUGCCAGCAAAAUAAGAGAUCUUUAAAGAACUUGUGAGAUAGGACAUACAAAGUUUUUCGUGCGACUGGUCCCGUGGACAACAAGGUUCGUCAUAUUUCCAAUGAGGUUAUGUUCCAUAAAGUUUGGUAUCACUGCACCUAUCCAGGUUCUUUCCGGGUCGGGAUAUCUAUCAGCAAUCAUAUAGUUGAAGCAUCCA